rnacentral:rRNA from 1 species
AGCGAACGCUGGCGGCAGGCCUAACACAUGCAAGUCGAACGGACCCUUCGGGGUUAGUGGCGGACGGGUGAGUAACACGUGGGAACGUGCCUUUAGGUUCGGAAUAGCUCCUGGAAACGGGUGGUAAUGCCGAAUGUGCCCUUCGGGGGAAAGAUUUGUCGCCUCUGAGGCGGCCCGCGUCUGAUUAGCUAGUUGGUGAGGUAAUGGCUCACCAAGGCUACGAUCAGUGAGCUGGUCUGAGAGUAUGACCAGCCACAUUGGGACUGAGACACGGCCCAAACUCCUACGGGAGGCAGCAGUGGGGAAUCUUGCGCAAUGGGCGAAAGCCUGACGCAGCCAUGCCGCGUGGAUGAUGAAGGUCUUAGGAUUGUAAAAUCCUUUCACCGGUGAAGAUAAUGACUGUAGCCGGAGAAGAAGCCCCGGCUAACUUCGUGCCAGCAGCCGCAGUAAUAC